rnacentral:misc_RNA from 1 species
AGUCCAUUGAGAUCUCUGGUUAAAAUAUGUGAAUUUAUUGUAUCCUUGUAUGGGCAAAUAAAAAAUAAUCGUAUCUGUAGUGUUUGAAGUCGUUCUGUUUCUGUAUUAAAGUCUUCGAAUCGGCUCUGUUUCUCACCUAAUGGCGUAGUUGAUGUACUUGCUGUAAAAUUUCAUGUUGAAAGAUGUAAUAGUAGUGUUGUAAUAUCCUCUUUUUUUCUUAGAACACUUCAUAAAAUGCAAAUUUGAU